UCUAUCCUGAGUGGUGUAUAAAAAAAUAACUAGAAGGAAAAUCAAACGUCAAGACGCAUAUCUGCAAUUUUCUUUGUUUAGAAUUAGAUGACAACAGAAAUACCCAGAAAUCAUGAGAAACAGAGAGGUCAUGGUGCCUCCUUCGCCUAUUGCAUAUAUCUGGCCCAAUCUCUGAAAAUGUUGGGGAAAAGUAAAAAACUUUAGUGACCAAAAUGCAAAGGGUCGGUGUCCAAAAUUGGUAGCCCGAAGACGCGCUUUUGGUCCUUUUCAAGCCCAUGAAGGUAAACUUUCCUUCCUUCAGAAAAAAUAAAAAAUGCACCAACUUUGAUGCAGUUGCAGCCUCAUCCGAUGUCUUAUGCCAGACAGGGAAGAGCUGGUCUCGACUUCUUUCAACGUCUUCUCGACGUGUCUUCUUGUCAAAUGUUUGAGGAAGAUUCUUGUUUAUCUCAGUCUUUUUCGCUCCACGCUGGCCUCUCAUCAGCCAUCUUCCACGAAAUCGAUGAUGUUUUAAAUAUCUUAAUAGAAAUGGUAUUGCUUCUUACUUUUGGUCAACGGAAGAAGGAUACAAAGGACAAAAUCCACAACUUAGGGAAAGAGACGAGCAGCAGACGCAAGCACACCAUUAUGCUUAAAGAUGGCGAACAGUAGCAGAAUCUUAACAUCAAUGAGCUAUUAAACAUCCCAAGAGACAAAAGUUCAGACCCAUAGCACCAUUUGGAUUGGAACUAAACUUCCUGCUGCCCCAUCACAAGUUUCUGUAACCUGUUUCACCCUAGGAGUGACAACAUUCGAUUCCCAGAGAUUGAUGUUAUUGUCCAACAUCCAGUUCUAUCAGGAGAUGUGAGCCACAGAAUCUGAGCUAAGGCAAAGCGCACACCUUCUUGCUUUUGAUCUCACAAAAUCGUGCGUGCUCUCUCUCGCAUCUGGCAGGUGACUGCUGCUGUCUAGUGCUCUUGUUGUGUUUCCGGGCUUUUAUUAUCCCACAUCGGAAGAUGUGAAAAUAGGCGUGUGGACGGAGGUUAUAAAAGGAGAAGCGCGACACGUAAACAAGCAUACCUUUCUCGGCCUUUUGGCUAAGAUCAAGUGUAGUAUCUGUUCUUAUCAGUUUAAUAUCUGAUACGUGGGCCAAUGGCUCACACGAUAUUAAAUUAAUUUUUUUAGGGGGAGGGUCCGUAACAGUAGCUUGCUAUUGGGGCUCUAGAGCGUCGCCUUUGCGUUGCACUAAAGCAUUGGCCUGGCGCACCCCACCAA